AAACGAGUUAAACAUUCACAUUUGCAUUUAAGCUAUUGUUGUAAAUAAAACAACCAGUGGUAAAAUUUAUGCUAACAACUUAAAUUUUUAAUUUUAUUUACAUAGAACAUUAAACAGAAAAUGAAAAAGCUCAGAGCAAGUCUAGAGAGACCAUGGAAGAAAGAAAGAAAGAGCUCAUAUUUUAGGGUCAUUAACAGGCUUUUUCCUGAUUUUGGAACAAGGGGCUCUGCAUUUCAUUCUGAGAGUUCGGCCCACAAACCAUGCCCUUGGCUGCCAUGUGAGAGGCCCUCAGGGGGGCUGCGUCCUGUCCCCAGGGUCACCUCAUCUCAGGCCUGCACAGGCCUGUGUCCUGGAGACCCAGCUUCUCUGAGGCUAUUGUGCUGACUGUGUGGGUGGGAGCACAUCCAGGUUGCUGGGGACAAUCUCUGCUUCUGGGGGACAGGUGUGACCCGCAGGGUGGACGAGGGGCUGGGGACCAGGUGACUGGGGGGGUCUUGGAACACAGGGCUGGGGGAUAUUUGGGGGCCCCUCCACCCCCCACUCCUCAUGGUGAGGCCUCUGUGGCCCCAGGACUGCAGGUCCCUGGAUGAUGGGGGUCCUGCAGGGAGUGGGGGAGGCACUUGGGGACCCCUGACAGACUGUCCCUCCCCCUGCCAAGGACACCCCUCUCCUGAAGGCCUCUGAGCCUAGGGCAGCCAGAAGCCCAGGUCUGGGGACACAGGUGUGCAGAGAAGCUGGCAGCAUCUAUGCUGGGGUCUGUGCUGGUCUGUCCCCAGGAUGGUCACUCAGGGACAAAUGGGAAUAAUCACCCAAGAUACUCCCAGGAGGGGCCACCCUGUCAGCUUCCUGCCAGUCACACACUUUUCAAGAACAAAUUCAUGAAUUUAAAUACUCUGACAAGCUGAGGAGCCCUGCACAUGGUGUCCAAUGAAUUAGAAAAGAAAGUGGAAAAUGUGGCCUUAUUUCAUUCUGAGCCACGGGAAUGAAUGCGCUGCUCAGGCUCAUAACUUUUUGGAAAGGGAUUUUGUCAAAGACGAGCCAGCUUCAGAAACGUCCUCUGCUGUCACAGCUGUGUCACAAAAGCACAGGCUCUUUCAGCUGGGACAGACCCUACCUCGGCCCCUAAAGAGGCCCAGGGACUGUCACCCAUGGGGUCGAAUGAGACUGAUGCCAAAAAAUGUGACCGGAAUCCAGGUUCUUAUUCACAUAGUGGAAGAAUGAACUCCGAGAACACACAGGCAGCAGGCAAGCAAAGUCUUUAUUAAAGGAGAAGAGCCCACACUCUCUAUUGUCCUAAUCUAUUCUUUAAGGGUUUUUAUCCCUUAAAGAUAGGAGGCUACCAAGGUGAGGUCCAGAAAGAUGUGGUUUGCUCCCACUGGCCUUGCCUAGUUACCUCUAUCAGUCCUUGUCCAAUAGGGGUUUUAGGGGUGGAAAUGUCCCAUAAGUUUUACGAUUUCUCUGUCCUUCUCUUCGCUUAGACUCAGUCACCAUUCCUCUCACUCCUUUUUUAUCAGUUGAGUGGGUUAGAGAUUAAGGUCCAUGGCGCGGAGGUGGGGGGUACAUUUCCUGCAGUAAAUAAAGCCUGCAGGGAAGGUACACUUACACUUCCUAUAAUAAAAAAACGCCUGUGGGGAAUUACUCUCUGGAGCCCUUAAACCACAAAUGUUAAUCAAUAGCCAUAUGAAAGAAUGCAUGGAAGCCCUUGCUCCUACACUGACUCCCUGAGUUAGUCUUCUGCCUCAGGACCUUCGGUAUCAAGCUCCCUGACAGCCCCAGGGCUGAGCUGGGUGGUGGUUAUGAGGCCCCUGGAACCCCACCUCCAUGGACCAGCUCGUCCCUCGUGCAGAAGCCAGAGGAGAAGUGGUAGGAAGAGCAGUGUUGAUGAAGGUUAGGGCUCACCCACCAGAGAACCAGGAAAGGGGGUGCCCAGUCUUCCCUUUGUGGGUGCCCCCCUGCCACGUGCAGGCCAGGCUGUUCCCACACCUUCUGGGGGAGCCCCCACAUCACUUCUGUUGUCAUCCUGAGUGCCCGUCCAGAGGUAUAGGCUUGGAGCCUGGGUUGUCAGGAUUCUCAGAGCAACAGGACCAAGAGGAUGUGUAUCCACAAAAGAUGUAUUUACUUGUUUAUGUGUGUUCGUUUUUCCUUUUUACAGCUGCACUUGCGUCAUAUGGAAGUUCCGAGGCUGGGGGUUGAAUCAGACCUGCAGCUGCUGGCCUACACCACAGCCACAGCAACACAGGCUCUGAGCAGCAUCUGUAACAUACGUGGCAAAGUGGAUGCUUAACCCUCUGCGUGAGGUGAGGGAUCAAACCUGCAUCUUCAUUUUGACCGCUGGGUUCCUAACAUACUGAGCCACAGCAGAAACGCUUACAGAAAGAUUUAUUCUGAGGAAUUGACUCAGGUGAUUAUAGAAGCCGAUGCAUCCAAAAUCUGCAAGGGAGGGCUAGCUGGCUGCAGACCCUGGAGAGCAGAGGGUGUAGUUCCAGUCUGAAGGCCAUCUGCUGCACAAUUCCCCCUUGACCUUGGGAGGUCAGUCUUUUGUUCUAUUCAGGCUGUCCCCUGAUUGGACGAGGCCCAUCCUCACUAAGGAGGACAAUUGGCUUUACUCCCCGGGCCCUGAUCUAAGUGUCAGUCUCAUCUAGAAACACCCUCCCAGAACAUGGAUCAAAAAGCGCCAUAGCCUAGCCAGGUUGACACAUAAAACUGUCCCUCACAGUCCCCUGACUCCCAUCUGCAUCUCCCUGGCUGGCAUCUCUUUUGGGGAAUCCGUCCCUUAGGUGGACAACGGGACCAGGAGUUAGCAGGGAGCGGGCCAGGGAGGGGUGGACGGGACCGCUCCUGGCUCAGGCUGUGGGCCAGAGCAAUGCUGUAGCUGAGCAGCAUCCUGCUGGGGGCUGGAGGGAGGGUAGGGGUGACCCAGGCCAGAGAGGAGGGCACAGAUGGGGGCCGAGCUGGUGGGUGGGGAGUCCUUCGGGGCCGAGCAGAGAGGCCCCUUCCAGGUGCUGCACUCCCCCCCCCAGUUCAUGGUGGACCUCGAUUCUCGGGUCCAAGCAGCCCCAUGACUCAGGCCUGAGCAGUGAGGGCUCAGCCUCUGGCCACCAGGACAGCUUCUGGAGAUGGCCCGUGGCCCACUGAGGUCUGUCAGAUUCCACUGAUAUUCACAUGGAACCUGGGGAUGCAGAUGUGCUCUCGUACCCCCCUCCACCCCCCGCCCCGACCCUGGGCAGCUGUGGCUGGAGUGCCACCUCAUCACCUCGGGGAUUUUUGCAACUCAUGAACAAAUUCUGCCCAGUAAACCAUGUUCUCCUUCAUAAUGACAGCGAGCAUGAGCUCUUUAAAGCCCAUUAUCAGAGUGGAGUAGGGACAAUGUCCCAUCCGUGGGAAAAAAGCCCGACUGUUUAGAUUUUCUGUAAUAAGCCUGGGUAUAAACAAAUACCGUAAUGAAAGGAGUCUUGCUCCUUUCCCACUGUGGCUGCUCACAUUGCAGGGAACUCCCACCCCUGGAACUGGCUUCAGAGGAGACUCCUGCAGUCUGUGCCUGAGAAUUUGCACAUCAUUGUCAGGAGCUGCUCAUCUACCUCCCUGUGUAGACGGGGUGAACUGUAUCCAUAGUGUAUCCAUUAAAUACAAUCAGCAGCUCUGCAUCGCUGGCCUUGGAGGGACUUUCAUAAGGUGUUAAGUAGGGAAAACAAGGGGAGACAUGAGAUGCUUCCUGCCCCUCCCCCAUCAGUCCCCCACAGCAGCACUGAAGCCUUAACAAGGAGAUCCCAACACCAAGAUAUGCUUGAGAAUAAAACCCCAACUCCUCCCAGGACUGUGAACCAGGACCCGCCCCCCCUUCCCCCUCCCCCACUCCCAGCCACUUUGGCCUCCUGUCCCUGAGACACUGGGGCCCUGCCUCAGGGCCUUUGCACCUGCUCUUCCCUCCUCCAGAAGUGCCCUGCCCCCUGUGGUCAGCCGGCUCCUCCUCACUCGGCAGGUCUCCCUCAGGGGAGCCUCCAGAGGACCCCGUAGAGACCUCUCCCCACCCCUCCCAGGGAGCUUGGCGCUCUCUCCAUGUCUCAGUCCUGCACACUGUGGGCUGAGCCAGUGUCUCCAUGUGUUCAGUCCCAUGAUGUCCCCAGCACAGAAUAGCGCCUGGCACACAGCAGGGGCUGCCACACAUGUUUGUGGAAUGAAGGAACGUGGGCCCCAGUCAAGGAUCAAGGUGAGGCUUGGGUUGGCAGGGGGACGUGGGUUAUGAGGCCCAACGCCCAACUGGGACACCAGGGCGAGCAGAGGAGAGUUGGAGGUUAGAGAUUGAUACCGCGGAUCCAGGAAGGCAGCUUCCAUUGACAUUUACAGCCUAUCACACAGAGCAGGGAUAUUAACUUUCAGUAUAUAAAACUGAAUUUACCUUUAGGCAAAGCCCAUUAUCAGGCUUUGCAGCCACCUGUCCUUCAGUAAAUUGCAUUUUCAAGGCGGCUCCUGAGAGCGCGAGUGAGAGAUCAGCUCCCCAACACCAUCACUCUGGCCUCUAUCCCGAGUCUGAGCACGUGUUCUCUCUGGACUGAGCUGGUCUGAGAUGUGGUUCUGCGACUUGAGACCAAAUACUCCUGACACUUUGCAAGUUUUAACUUUAAAUGACAACAAAAGAGGUUUUAUCAGAGCAGGGAAAGAGGAGCUGAGAUCAAAACAAGGAGGGA
rnacentral:lncRNA from 1 species